GAAGAAAGGAGGAGAGGCCUUCGCUCUCUUUCCUUCCAGUGGCUUUGGAGGUGCAGGUUUCCCUGCUGUUGAGUCUGUUGUGUUGGGCAGUGAGGACUGGUAAGGCCUUGCCAACCUUGGGAGACGGGGGUUGCCAGCAGUUGUUCCAGCGCGACUUUUCUGUUUUCCCAAGGAGAGUACUCUCAGCGUCUGAAAUGGUUCCUCAAGAAGCUUUCUACCUUCACUCCAGUUUUGCAACUGCUGAUGCCAAAACAUUGGUCCACAAGCAGGAAGAUAUCCUUGGAAUGGCAGCAUUUUCAAUCAGACUGUCCCUUUCAAAGCUUUCAUUACUGAGCAGUAGAUAGAAUAAAGCUCUUAAAGUCUCAUUGCAAAACUUCUGAAGAGAGGACAUACCUUGCAAAACUAAUGCUUUGUUCUGAAACUCAGUCAUCCAAUGUUCUUGCACAGAGCAACCACUGGUCUAAGCAGAACUCAUACCAACUUCAUAGAAGACAAUAGUGUAUUUUUACUCCAUCACACUCUAAACUAUUUCAGUUUAUUUCAAUUUUGAAAUGGCAGCACCAGCAGAGCAUUACUUCUGAAUUUCGCUGUCUUGUACUGUGUUCAAGUCAUCUGUUCAUUAAAGUUUCUUGUUGCCUUAACUAAUUUUAUCUGCAAGCAUCAAGAUCAAAUUAUUUAAAAUUAAUAAAUAUUCUGUGAUGGUAUACGCAGGUGGGGAAAAGCUUUUGGCACAGAUAUCCCUACUCUGCAAACCAAAAGAAAUAGGUCAUUUUUUUGGUCCCACAGCCCUAAUAACAUCCUUUCUAUUGACAAAUAGAUUGACAAA